rnacentral:lncRNA from 10 species
CCUCUACCUGAAUGCACUUGUGAACUUCAGAAUUUUGAAGCUCUGUCUCCUGACAUCACAGAUAGACGAGCACUGAACUUGGCAGGAAAAUCAGUAGGAGUAAGUGGCGGAGGCAUGGGACUGGCAGAGAUACGGCAGCCCCUGUGGAGAGGCUGUCUACAGAUAACAUAACAAUAACAACAGGAUCUGCGGGGUUCCUGCAUGCGUGUUGGCUUCACUGGAGAAACUAAUCAAGUGGUCUGAGUCAUUCAAGUUAUAGUCUAUUUGAAGACGAGUUGAAUCUGAAACAAUGAGUAAGAUGAUGAGAGCUCGAUACUUAUGGUUUAAAUAUAAAAGGGGUAUCCCAACUCAGAAAGAGAGAGGAGAUCUGGAAAAAUCCUGCUUUCUGAAGCUUUUGACGGUAUUUUCAUACUGCCUGACUAAAGUGCAACAGCUACAUAUUGACAGGCGGUGGAAGGUGCAGUUUGGACACAGAGACUGACACACAGGAAGAAUACCAUGUGAAGACUGGAGUUUUGCAUAGAGAAGCCAAGGAGCUACCAGAAGCUAGGAGAAUGGCCUGGAACAGACCUUUCCUUAGUGCCUUCAGAGAGAGCAUGGCGCUGCCAACAUCUUGAUCUCAGACUUCCAGCAUCCUGAAUUGUGAGAUAAAUUUCUGCUGUUUAAACCAUAUAAUUUGUGAUACUUUGCUAUGGCAACUGUCACAGCUAUUAUAAGCACCUAACCCUUUUUUUAAUCUUUUAAGAAACUUUUUGCUUUCAUCUACUUUUUUUGUUCUGGUUAUUCCAUAUUUUACUUUAAGAUUUAGUCUUCUGUCAAUAAAGCAAUAAUUUCAGAUCAAUUU